CCUUCCUGGGACACAGAAGGGUAGAAGAGUCUGGAAGGGACAGCAAAAAGAUUCAACACAGCCCAUAAAUGGCACUGAUGUCAUUGAUAUGCCUGUGUCAGAACACUUAAGUGUUUGGCGUGUGGAAGUCAGAAGAAGGUAUCAGACCCUCUGAAACUGGACUACUACAGAACCUGGGUACUCAGCAAGAGCAUCAAGUCCUCUUAACUGUUGAGCCAACUCUCUAGCCCUGUUAUUCUCAGUCGUGUGCUUACAGAAACGUUUUCAAUUCAUUCUCACCAAAUAGCGUUUCCUUUAAUUUCUUGGAGGAGCAUACCUCACUUUAAAUUGUGAACAACGAUGAAAAUAAAGGAUUGUAUUUUUCCCUUUCUCCUUCA